rnacentral:misc_RNA from 1 species
CACAACAAAAGAUCUCUGAUGCCUCUUUUUUUAAGUUUUUCAGUAAUUUUCAUACGCGCACACACACGCAUAUGCCCUCUCUCUUUCUCUCUUUCUCUCUUUCUAACCAAGAAAAAGCUAUUGUUGUCUCUUCCCUUGGCUUUGUUGAGACAGAAUAACAACUUGUAAGUUAUUUUCAAGCAAAUUAAAGGAUCUUACCUUCUAUAAUGCUAACUAAAGAUUCAAGAAUUAGUAGUAUUGACCAAUUUUACCUGAUAGCUUUCAA